rnacentral:rRNA from 1 species
GAUGAACGCUGGCGGCGUGCCUAAUACAUGCAAGUCGAGCGAACGGACGAGAAGCUUGCUUCUCUGAUGUUAGCGGCGGACGGGUGAGUAACACGUGGAUAACCUACCUAUAAGACUGGGAUAACUUCGGGAAACCGGAGCUAAUACCGGAUAAUAUUUUGAACCGCAUGGUUCGAAAGUGAAAGACGGUCUUGCUGUCACUUAUAGAUGGAUCCGCGCUGCAUUAGCUAGUUGGUAAGGUAACGGCUUACCAAGGCAACGAUGCAUAGCCGACCUGAGAGGGUGAUCGCCCACACUGGAACUGAGACACGGUCCAGACUCCUACGGGAGGCAGCAGUAGGGAAUCUUCCGCAAUGGGCGAAAGCCUGACGGAGCAACGCCGCGUGAGUGAUGAAGGUCUUCGGAUCGUAAAACUCUGUUAUUAGGGAAGAACAUAUGUGUAAGUAACUGUGCACUUCUUGACGGUACCUAAUCAGAAAGCCACGGCUAACUACGUG